AUGGCGGAGCAGACCGAGAAGUCUUUCCUCAAGCAGCCAAAGGUUUUCCUCAGCACGAAAAAGGCCGACAAGGCCAAGAGGCCAGGCAAGGCUGGCAACCGCUUCUGGAAGAGUGUUGGCCUUGGUUUCAAGACCCCAAGGGAAGCGAUCGAUGGUACCUACAUUGACAAGAAGUGCCCAUUCACUGGAACUGUUGCCAUCAGGGGCAGAAUCAUAGCUGGAACCUGCCACAGUGCCAAGAUGAACAGGACCAUCAUUGUUCGCAGGAACUACCUUCAUUUUGUGAAGAAGUAUCAGAGGUAUGAGAAGAGGCACUCCAACAUCCCAGCUCACAUCUCCCCCUGCUUCCGAGUCAAGGAAGGCGACCAUGUCAUCAUUGGCCAGUGCAGGCCCCUGUCGAAAACCGUGAGAUUCAAUGUCCUGAAGGUUGUUCCAGCUGGAACCACCGGAGGCGGGAAGAAGGCUUUCAUCGCUGCUUAA
rnacentral:rRNA from 1 species